rnacentral:rRNA from 1 species
AUGCGUGCCAAAGGUGAUGUUAGAACCAUUAGCAAUAUCAUAAUAGAAGCCAUUAGAAUUCAUAAUCUUGAACAUUGUCAUAAUCAUGGAACUAAUGAAUCCAUUACCCUAUGUGAUGAUCAUAUACAUGUUGAUGAUGACAACGUUGAACAUGGCUAUUAUGAUGAGGAUGAAGAGUUUGACAUUGAAUAUGAGAAGACUAUGAGAAAUCUUAGUAUCAUGACAAAUCUUCGAGAUUACAUGGACAGAGGAAAGCAAUGGAUUCUUGAUAGUGGAUGCACCGAUCACAUGACCGAAGAUAGAGACAUACUUUGUGAGCUUGCUAAGAAUGAUGGUCCACGCAAGUAUGUGACUUUUGGAGACAACUCCAAGGGUAAGGUACUUGGCCUUGGUAAGGUGGCCAUAUCCAAUGAUAGCUCCAUUCAAAAUGUUAUGCUUGUUGAAUCUCUUGGAUACAAUCUUCUUUCGAUAUAUAGACUAGCCGACUUUGGUUAA